rnacentral:rRNA from 1 species
GACGGGGGGGGCAAGUGUUCUUCGGAAUGACUGGGCGUAAAGGGCACGUAGGCGGUGAAUCGGGUUGAAAGUGAAAGUCGCCAAAAACUGGCGGAAGACUCUCGAAACCAAUUCACUUGAGUGAGACAGAGGAGAGUGGAAUUUCGUGUGUAGGGGUGAAAUCCGGAGAUCUACGAAGGAACGCCAAAAGCGAAGGCAGCUCUCUGGGUCCCUACCGACGCUGGAGUGCGAAAGCGUGGGGAGCAAACAGG